CAGCCUGGAUAACAGAGCGAGACCCUGUCUCAAAAAAAAAAAAAAAGUACUUGUCAGUGUCUACUACUGUGUGCUAAGCACUUUGCUUGAUUUUGCAGAAAUGGGGCAUAAAUAAGUCCCUGCCCUCAGAGAAGAAAAUAUGUUGGGUAAGAUAGAUGAAUAAACACAUUUUAAUAGAACAUGAGCAUUGUGUAAAGACAGUAUCUUUGAUUUUCACAACUGUUUUACAGAUUUUUUUUUUAAUUAAAUCUUGAGACUUAAAGAAGGGACGUGGGUGAGAUAACAUAGCCUGUUAGGAUCCAUACCCAGGUCUAAGUUCAAAGCUCCCUUUCCCUUGUUAUCACACUGCCUCAAAUUACAGUGCUUUCCACUGAUACUGAUCUUUGAUUAUUUUGUUACAAUCAUUAAUGUUUCUGUCACCCUGGAAAGUCUCAUAGCCUCACUGCCACCCAGUGCAGUCAUGUCUCACAUCAGGCCAAAGCCUGGGUGACCAGCUCUUGCAGCCCAACUGCAAAGAAUAAAUAGAGCCUACUGGCCUAGGGACUCUCAAUUCAGACAGUUCUUCCUCAAUUCAUUUCAGUGUUCACUGGAGAAUUGGUAGUUGUUGCCAAACGCCUGUCAGUCAAGAACAGUGGCCUGUUUGUUAGGGUUGUUGCAGUUAUUGUGGUGAACACUAAUCAGUCAUGGGGACCAUGACUGUGGCAUUCUGGUUUAACCAAAGAGUAAGUUGAGCCUCAAAGGCACAGCUUGCAACAAUAGCUUCAUUUGAAUUACAACAUAUUUGAAAAGGGAUGUCAAAUAGGCAUUAAUUUAUGCUACAAACAUUUGUUCCAGGACUUCUAAAUCUAAGGAAUGUGCUAGCCUUUGGGAACUCAAAGAUGAAUGAGAAAUAGACUCUGUUCUUAAAAAGUUUAAGAUUUAGUAGAAAAAGAUAAGCUGUGUUUAUAAAUAACCAAAAAAUACAGCAGAAAGUGAGAAGUGUCCAAGGAAAAUGAAAACUAAGUGCCAGGGUGGCGGGGGGGUGCGUAGAAAUGGGAAACUGCCUUCAGCUGGAGCGUUCAGGGAAGGCUUUAUUGAGGAGCAGACAUUUUAGCUGGGCCUGAAAAGCUUAUAGCAUUUCAAUAAGCAGAAAUAAAGAGCAUUCUAGUGGGGAGGGAAUUGAGCCAUCAAAGCCCUGGAGAGGGAAAGUGUAAGGUAAGAUUGGGGCACAGUAAAGCCUCCCUUCCUCCUUCAAUGGCUAACUCACAUUCAUCCCUCAAGUCCCAACUCAGACCUCACUUGCUCAAGGUAGACUUCUCGGACCUUCAGUCUACUUCCCUGAUCAUGUUUCCAAAGCAUACUAUAUCUGUUUAACUUAUGUCCCCCUGCUAUAUUGUAAUGUUCAUUUGUUUUGUCAUUUUAUCCACAAUCCCAUAGCUAGUGCUAAACAUUUUGCAAGUGCUUCAUGAAUAUUUAUUGCAUGAAUAGUUGAAUGUGGCCUUGUGGAACUGGAAUGCAGAGCUCAUGAAGGAGAACAGCAGAAGAUAAUGGUGAAAGGAAGGCAACUGGCACAUUGUGAGCUGCCCUAUGGAGUGGAUUACAUGGCAAGGAACUGAGGGAGACCUCUGGGCAACAUCCAUUAAAGAACUGAGGCCCUUAGUCCAACAACCUGGAGGAAGUGAAACCUCCAGCAACCUGUGAGUGACUCUGGCAAAUUCUCCUCCAUCAACACUUGAGGUAUGACUGCAGCCCCAGCCAACAUCCCGACUGCAACAGGAGGGACCUUGAGCCACAGGCACCCAGUUAAAUUGCACCCACAUUGCUGACCCACAGAAACUGUGUGAUAUUUGUUUUAAGCCACUAAGUUUUGGGGUAAUUUGUUACAGCAAUAAAUAACUAAUAUAUCUACCUACUCA